rnacentral:rRNA from 1 species
UACGGAGGAGGCCAGCGUUAUCCGGAAUUAUUGGGCGUAAAGCGUCCGUAGGGGGUUGGCCAAGUCUGCUGUCAAAGGGUGGGGCUUAACCUCAUAAAGGCAGUGGAAACUGGCGAGCUAGAGUGCGGUAGGGGUAGGGGGAAUUCCCAGUGUAUCGGUGAAAUGCGUAGAGAUUGGGAAGAACAUCGGUGGCGAAAGCGCCCUGCUGGGCCUGCACUGACAGUGGGGGACGAAAGCUAGGGGAGCGAAAGGG